AGCAGCCGCGGUAAUUCCAGCUCCAAUAGCGUAUAUUAAAGUUGUUGCAGUUAAAAAGCUCGUAGUUGAAUUUCGGGGUUAGCAGGUCGGUCGUGCCACCGGUAUGAACUGGUCUCGCUGAUCCCUCCCUCUUGACGAACUGUGAUGCCAUUAAUUUGGUGUCGCAGGGAAUCAGGACUGUUACUUUGAAAAAAUUAGAGUGUUUAAAGCAGGCUCACGCUUGAAUACAUUAGCAUGGAAUAAUGAAAUAGGACGUUUGAUCCUAUUUUGUUGGCUUCUAGGAUUGACGUAAUGAUUAAUAGGGAUAGUUGGGGGCAUUAGUAUUCAAUUGUCAGAGGUGAAAUUCUUGGAUUUAUUGAAGACUAACUACUGCGAAAGCAUUUGCCAAGGAUGUUUUCAUUAAUCAAGAACGAAAGUUAGGGGAUCGAAGACGAUCAGAUACCGUCGUAGUCUUAACCAUAAACUAUGCCGACUAGGGAUCGGAUGAUGUUAAUUUUUUAAUGACUCAUUC
rnacentral:rRNA from 1 species